rnacentral:rRNA from 1 species
GAUGAACGCUAGCGGCAGGCUUAAUACAUGCAAGUCGUGGGGCAGCAGGUCUGUAGCAAUACAGAUGCUGGCGACCGGCAAACGGGUGCGUAACACGUACGCAACCUUCCCGUUACUGGGGAAUAGCCCAGGGAAACUUGGAUUAAUACCCCAUAUUACAUUUGUUAGGCAUCUGACUGAUAUCAAAGCUUCGGCGGUAACGGAUGGGCGUGCGGUUGAUUAGGUAGUUGGCGGGGUAACGGCCCACCAAGCCUACGAUCAAUAGCUGAUGUGAGCGCACGAUAGGCCACACGGGCAUUGAGACACGGGCCCGACUCCUACGGGAGGAAGCAGUAAGGAAUAUUGGGCAAUGGACGAAAUUCUGACCGAGCCAUGCCGCGUGAAGGAUGAAGUUCCUAUGGAUUGUAAACUUCUUUUAUCUGGGGCGAAAAUCGGUUAUUCUUAGCCGCUUGACAGUACCAGAUGAAUAAGUACCGGCUAACUCCGUGCCAGCCGCCGCUGUAACAC